rnacentral:rRNA from 1 species
GACGAACGCUGGCGGCGUGCUUAACACAUGCAAGUCGAACGGAAAGGCCCUGCUUUUGUGGGGUGCUCGAGUGGCGAACGGGUGAGUAACACGUGAGUAACCUGCCCUUGACUUUGGGAUAACUUCAGGAAACUGGGGCUAAUACCGGAUAGGAGCUACUGCUGCAUGGUGGGGUUGGAAAGUUUCGGCGGUUGGGGAUGGACUCGCGGCUUAUCAGCUUGUUGGUGGGGUAGUGGCUUACCAAGGCUUUGACGGGUAGCCGGCCUGAGAGGGUGACCGGCGACAAGGGGACUGAGGUACGGAGCAGUCGGCUACGGUACGCAGUAGUGGAGAACAUGGCGCAGCAGGCCGAAGCCAGAGGCGGCGAUGCCGCGUUCGUAAUAACGUGUUAUUGGGUGAGAACCGCUGUCUCCGGAGAUAUGGAGGUAUUGACGGUAACUGGUAAGAAAGCACCGGCUAACUACGUG